UGAAGGGAAAGCUGUAGACCCUUGCUGCAUGGAGCAUUUGGUUUUAGAGUGUGGACCACCUGAUGGACACUGAGCCAUAGGAGUCAACUCGCACCAGUCUGGGAGAUCCAAAUUGCCUUCUCCCCACGUGUGCUCUGCUCCUGGUCUAGGUAGAGACAAGCUGACACUGUGUCUUUCUGGCUGCAGUAGGGAGGAUACUCCACCGCUGAGAGAGGGACCCUAUAGGCAUGCAGGAUCUACAUCCUUGGAGAUCUCGUCAGCUCAACACCACAAGACUCCAAUCGACUGGAUUGAGUUGUCCCUGCUGAGGCUCACCGCUGCCGCCAUUUUGGCUGCUCACCUCAAUGGAAGAGCACACCUGCCUCCUCAGCACGGCAUGUCAGAGGGAACGCCAGCUUUUCCCCUCUUUCACCAGCAGCUUUUAAAUAAAAAGGAAACCAGAAUGAUGAAACUCUGCUGCAUGGAGGGCAUCUUUGUCACACACGUGGAAGGUCAACACAGUGGGGAGAUAAAGGGAUAUAUGCUGAAGGAACUGUGUAGAUGACAGUGACAGACAAGAAACCAGCAUCCAGUGAUUGAACUGAGCAUGAAAAGGCAACACAGGAGGUUUUGUCAAAGAGCAGAACACCGUGCAGAAAAGGGACUGCUCCUGCCUGCACAAGAACAGCCAGACCUUAGAGGCUUCAUGGCACAAUCCAAGCUGCUGUCAUAGAGUACUUUAACCAUAAAUUAAACUUCAGGAAUGCAGAACAAGGAUCAACUAUAUUUCAAAUUGACCCUAAGUGAGAUACCAAUAUAAGUAUUGUAAUAUAGCUAAUGACCUGCAGAUUCUUCAUAUAACAAGAGAAGCCCACAUAAUUUUGCAUGCUUGCAAAACAGUACCUACCCAUUUUCUUCAUUUGCAUGACAAACUGUAGUACUAAAAUCCUGAUUCAUAUUAAUUCAAUACUAGAGUAUUACUGAUGUAAAACUACUGAUUUAGUAUUAUGAAAUUGAUUAAUAAACUACAGAUAAAUGCC
ensembl:lncRNA